UUUCACUUCUAAUUUUAUCUCCAGUGUCUAGCAGAUCUGAUUCAAAGGAGACCUUGAAAUAUACA
ensembl:misc_RNA